rnacentral:rRNA from 1 species
CAGCCGCCGCGGGAAUACGGAGGGUGCAAGCGUUAAUCGGAAUUACUGGGCGUAAAGCGCACGCAGGCGGUCUGUCAAGUCAGAUGUGAAAUCCCCGGGCUUAACCUGGGAACUGCAUUUGAAACUGGCAGGCUAGAGUCUUGUAGAGGGGGGUAGAAUUCCAGGUGUAGCGGUGAAAUGCGUAGAGAUCUGGAGGAAUACCGGUGGCGAAGGCAGCCAUCUGGCCUAACACUGACGCUGAGGUACGAAAGCAUGGGGAGCAAACAGGAUUAGAUACCCCGGUAGUCCCUGUCUCUUAUAC